AUUGAACGCUGGCGGCAGGCCUAACACAUGCAAGUCGAACGAGUGGCGGACGUGUGAGUAAUGUCUGGGAAACUGCCUGAUUGAGGGGGAUAACUACUGGAAACGGUAGCUAAUACCGCAUACCAUCAGAUGUGCCCAGAUGGGAUUAGCUAGUUGGUGUGGUAAUGGCUCACCAAGGCGACGAUCCCUCGCUGGUCUGAGAGUAUGACCAGCCACACUGGAACUGAGACACGGUCCAGACUCCUACGGGAGGAAGCAGUGGGGAAUAUUGGACAAUGGGCGCAAGCCUGAUGCAGCCAUGCCGCGUGUGUGAAGAAGGCCUUCGGGUUGUAAAGGACUUGCAGCGGGGAGGCGUUACUCGCAGAAGAAGCACCGGCUAACUCCGUGCCAGCAGCCGCGGUAAUUC
rnacentral:rRNA from 1 species